rnacentral:misc_RNA from 1 species
UGAUUUAUGUGAUCACCAAGCUUGGGCUGUUAUUUGUUUAUGACUUGGAGACAGCUAGUGCUGUAUACAGAAAUAGAAUCAGUCCCGAUCCAAUAUUUUUGACAGCUGAAGCUUCGUCGGUUGGGGGUUUUUAUGCCAUUAAUAGGCGGGGCCAGGUGUUGCUAGCGACUGUGAAUGAAGCAACAAUUGUACCUUUUGUUAGUAGCCAAUUGAAUAAUUUGGAGCUUGCUGUCAAUCUUGCCAAAAGAGGAAACCUUCCUGGUGCAGAGAAUUUGGUUGUCCAGCGUUUCCAAGAGCUGUUUGCUCAAACGAAGUAUAAAGAAGCAGCUGAGCUUGCUGCAGAGUCUCCACAAGGAAUUCUUCGAACACCCGACACAGUUGCCAAGUUUCAGAGUGUUCCUGUGCAAGCUGGGCAAACGCCUCCUUUACUGCAGUACUUUGGGACGCUUCUCACUAGAGGAAAGCUUAAUGCAUUUGAAUCAUUGGAAUUAUCACGCCUUGUUGUCAAUCAAAAUAAGAAGAAUCUUUUAGAGAAUUGGUUGGCAGAGGACAAGUUGGAGUGCAGUGAAGAACUUGGAGACCUUGUGAAGACUGUUGACAAUGACCUUGCGCUAAAAAUAUAUAUCAAAGCUAGAGCUACUCCAAAGGUUGUUGCGGCUUUUGCUGAGAGGAGGGAGUUUGACAAAAUUUUGAUUUACUCAAAGCAGGUUGGGUAUACCCCUGAUUAUUUGUUCCUUCUGCAAACAAUUCUCCGUUCGGAUCCUCAGGGAGCAGUGAAUUUUGCUUUGAUGAUGUCUCAAAUGGAGGGAGGUUGUCCUGUUGAUUACAAUACCAUCACUGAUCUGUUUCUUCAGAGAAACCUGAUUCGUGAGGCAACAGCUUUUCUGUUGGAUGUUUUGAAGCCAAAUCUACCAGAACAUGGUUAUCUGCAAACAAAGGUCCUUGAAAUCAAUUUGGUAACAUUUCCUAAUGUAGCUG